rnacentral:tRNA from 1 species
AAGAAUGUAGUUUAAUAAAAAUGUUAGAUUGUAAAUCUAAAGUUAGUUAUUCUUGU